UAGUGGCGAACGGGUGAGUAACACGUGGGUUACCUGCCUCAAGCUGGGGAUAACAGUUAGAAAUGACUGCUAAUACCGAAUGUGCUAGUAAUAGUAAAGGUGCUCUCAAGCAUCACUUGAAGAUGAGCCUGCGGCGUAUUAGCUAGUUGGUGGGGUAAAUGCCUACCAAGGCGACGAUGCGUAGCCGGACUGAGAAGUUGAUCGGCCACACUGGGACUGAGACACGGCCCAGACUCCUACGGGAGACAGCAGUUAGGAAUAUUCGGCAAUGGGCGAAAGCCUGACCGAGCAAUGCCGCGUGUGAGAUGAAGGUCCUUUGGAUUGUAAAUCACUUUUAUUUGGGAAGAACAGUAAAUAGAGGAAAUGUUAUUUAUUUGACGGUACCAUUUGAAUAAGCCCCGGCUAACUACGUGCCAGCCGCUGC
rnacentral:rRNA from 1 species